rnacentral:rRNA from 1 species
AGCUCCAGUAGCGUAUAUUAAAGUUGUUGCAGUUAAAAAGCUCGUAGUAGAAUUUCUGGUGGGGGAAUGCAGUUCAAGCUAUGCUUGAUACUCGCACUCUCCGGCCAUCUUUGAGUGGAGCCUGUCUGGCAUUAAGUUGUCGGGCUGGGGAUGCUCAUCGUUUACUGUGAAAAAAUUAGAGUGUUCAAAGCAGACUUAUGUCGUUGAAUAUAUUAGCAUGGGAUAAUAAGAUAAGACUUCGGUACUAUUUUGUUGGUUAGGUGCCGUUGUAAUGAUGAACAGGGACAGUUGUGGGUAUUCGUAUUCACUUGUAAGAGGUGAAAUUCUUAGAUUAAGGGAAGACGAACUACUGCGAAAGCAUUUACCAAGGAUGUUUUCA